rnacentral:rRNA from 1 species
GACGAACGCUGGCGGCGUGCUUAACACAUGCAAGUCGAACGGAAAGGCCCUGCUUUUGUGGGGUGCUCGAGUGGCGAACGGGUGAGUAACACGUGAGUAACCUGCCCUUGACUUUGGGAUAACUUCAGGAAACUGGGGCUAAUACCGGAUAGGAGCUCCUGCUGCAUGGUGGGGGUUGGAAAGUUUCGGCGGUUGGGGAUGGACUCGCGGCUUAUCAGCUUGUUGGUGGGGUAGUGGCUUACCAAGGCUUUGACGGGUAGCCGGCCUGGGAGGGUGACCGGCCACCUUGGGACUGCGAUACGGCCCAGACUCCUACGUGCGGCAGCAGUGGGGAAUAUUGCACAAUGGGCGGACGCCUGAUGCAGCAACGCCGCGUGCGGGAUGACGGCCUUCGGGUUGUAAACCGCUUUCGCCUGUGACGAAGCGUGAGUGACGGUAAUGGGUAAAGAAGCACCGGCUAACUACGUG